UGCCGCGUGAGUGAAGAAGGCCUUCGGGUUGUAAAGCUCUUUUGUCAGGGAAGAAAAGGGUGCGGCUAAUAUCUGCGCCUCAUGACGGUACCUGAAGAAUAAGCACCGGCUAACUACGUGCCAGCAGCCGCGGUAAUACGUAGGGUGCAAGCGUUAAUCGGAAUUACUGGGCGUAAAGCGUGCGCAGGCGGUUUUGUAAGACUGUCGUGAAAUCCCCGGGCUCAACCUGGGAAUGGCGAUGGUGACUGCUAGGCUAGAGUUUGGCAGAGGGGGGUAGAAUUCCACGUGUAGCAGUGAAAUGCGUAUAUAUGUGGAGGAACACCGAUGGCGAAGGCAGCCCCCUGGGUCAAAACUGACGCUCAUGCACGAAAGCGUGGGGAGCAAACAGGAUUAGAUACCCUGGUAGUCCACGCCCUAAACGAUGUCUACUAUUUGUCGGGUCUUAAUUGACUUGGUAACGCAGCUAACGCGUGAAGUAGACCGCCUGGGGAGUACGGUCGCAAGAUUAAAACUCAGAGGAAUUGACGGGGACCCGCACAAGCGGUGGAUGAUGUGGAUUAAUUCGAUGCAACGCGUAAAACCUUACCUACCCUUGACAUGGAUGGAAUCUUCGAGAGAUU
rnacentral:rRNA from 1 species